CCUACGGGUGGCAGCAGUGAGGAAUAUUGGUCAAUGGACGAGAGUCUGAACCAGCCAAGUAGCGUGAAGGAUGACUGUCCUAUGCAUUGUAAACUUCUUUUAUAUGGGAAUAAAACCAGGCAUGCAUGCCUUCCUGUGUGUACCAUAUGAAUAAGCAUCGGCUAACUCCGUGCCAGCAGCCGCGGUAAUACGGAGGAUCCGAGCGUUAUCCGGAUUUAUUGGGUUUAAAGGGAGCGUAGGUGGAGUGUUAAGUCAGUUGUGAAAGUUUGCGGCUCAACCGUAAAAUUGCAGUUGAAACUGGCAGUCUUGAGUAGAGGAGAGGUAGGCGGAAUGCGUGGUGUAGCGGUGAAAUGCUUAGAUAUCACGAAGAACUCCGAUUGCGAAGGCAGCACACCGGA
rnacentral:rRNA from 1 species